GAUGAACGCUGGCGGCGUGCCUAAUACAUGCAAGUCGAGCGCACGGACGAGAAGCUUGCUUCUCUGAUGUUAGCGGCGCACGGGUGAGUAACACGUGGAUAACCUACCUAUAAGACUGGGAUAACUUCGGGAAACCGGAGCUAAUACCGGAUAAUAUUUUGAACCGCAUGGUUCAAAAGUGAAAGACGGUCUUGCUGUCACUUAUAGAUGUAUCCGCGCUGCAUUAGCUAGUUGGUAAGGUAACGGCUUACCAAGGCAACGAUGCAUAGCGGACCUGAGAGGGUGGUCGGCGACACUGGAUCUGAGACACGAUACAGACUCCUACGGGAGGCAGCAGAAGGGUAUCUUACGCAAUGGGCGGAAGCCUGACGGAGCAGCGCCGCGUGAGUGAUGAAGGUCUUCGGAUCGUAAAACACUGUUAUUAGGGAAGAACAUAUGUGUAAGUAGCUGUGCACAUCUUGUCGGUACCUAAUCAGAAAGCCACGGCUAACUACGUG
rnacentral:rRNA from 1 species